UACGUAGGGUGCGAGCGUUAAUCGGAAUUACUGGGCGUAAAGCGUGCGCAGGCGGUUCGACAAGUCCGAUGUGAAAGCCCCGGGCUCAACCUGGGAAUGGCAUUGGAAACUGGCGAGCUUGAGUGUGGCAGAGGGGGGUGGAAUUCCGCGUGUAGCAGUGAAAUGCGUAGAGAUGCGGAGGAACACCGGUGGCGAAGGCGGAUCUCUGGGCCGUAACUGACGCUGAGGAGCGAAAGCAUGGGGAGCGAACAGG
rnacentral:rRNA from 1 species